AACGAACGCUGGCGGCAUGCCUAACACAUGCAAGUCGAACGAGACCUUCGGGUCUAGUGGCGCACGGGUGCGUAACGCGUGGGAACCUGCCCUUAGGUUCGGAAUAACUCCCCGAAAGGGGUGCUAAUACCGGAUAAUGUCUUCGGACCAAAGAUUUAUCGCCUUUGGAUGGGCCCGCGUUGGAUUAGCUAGUUGGUAGGGUAAAAGCCUACCAAGGCGACGAUCCAUAGCUGGUCUGAGAGGAUGAUCAGCCACACUGGGACUGAGACACGGCCCAGACUCCUCGGGGAAGAGGAGGGGGGGAUUUGUGAAGAAGGGGAGAAGGCUUGACCCGUAAUUGCCGGGGGAGGGAAGAGGGCUUGAGGGUGGAAAAGCUUUUUCCCCAGGGAGAAAAAUGAGAGUCCGGAAAAAAUAGGCGCGGACAAACCCCGUC
rnacentral:rRNA from 1 species